CAGGCCUGUGAGCUUCACUUCUACAUCAUCUGAGGUCCUGGGAGGAGAUGUCAUGGCCUGGAUCUUGCUGUUCAGAUGCUGUGGUGAGAGCACAGCAAUGAGAGCUUAAAGGUAGGAUACCAACACCAAAGUAAAGAUUACUGCAACUUCUACCUUAGUGAACCAGUGAGCUUCUUGGCCUUACUCACAGGAACAUCGAUGGAGGUUGCCUAUUGGGGCAUAGAUGACCUCUCCAAACAGCCACAGCACUGAAAAGUCUCACCUCCACGUGUUUGAUGAAGUCCCCACAGGUGUUGUGUAUGCACAGAUGGAGUCUUCUCCUGGUUCACCUCUUACAUCCCACCUACUCCAGCACCUCCCAGCACUGCAGACCGCAGACACCGCCAGCCUGCCCGAGCAGCUGCACCGGCCUUUGGCUUUCUGUCAGUCAUCUUUUGAGAAAUGGAUAUGUCCAAAUAUUCGACGGGUCCAUAAUGGAUUGAAAUUGUUGUUCCAAAAAUCAUUCUCUUCCUGGCCAGAGUGGGAUUGCCUUUUACAUUUGCACCAAGCUAAGCGAAUGUUGAAUAGAUGGAAGAUCUCAAUGACCAUUCUAUACAAAUGAAUAGGCUCCUGUGAUGUAUAAAGA